GGCGUGGCUCCUUCCCGAUGGUGAGCGAAUUGGUACGAGUUGGAAGGCCCAUCCCAGACCUUGUGCCCCACUCAACUAGGAUGCGGAGAGACAUUACCUGGUGCCAGCCUAACGCGAGAAAGAGAAGUAAACAAACUAUGCUGUGUGAUGAGAGCUCUCGAGCUCCAGAAAAGGCCUGAGCCAGGGGGCAUCUCAGAGGAGGUGACUGAGGGACUGAGAAGGUAUCCCCGGCAUCCACAGGGAUGUGGGGGGCAGGGUGGGCUCAGGGCGCUGCCGACCCCAGGGGUCCCCCACCCCCGGGCUCUGCAGGCUGUCAGGUGCCAGAAAGCCUGAGAUCCCAAGCCAUCGAAAUGAAGGCAACAGCCGUGGAGAGGUCAAGGACAACUGCACUGGAAGAGUGAACGCCCUGACCACAGCGGGCCAGAGAAGCGGCUCCGGGAUCAGCACCUGUACUGAACACACUGCUCAUCACACCCCUGACUCCUUCCUUCGGCCGCGGCAUUUUCGGGAGGGCCCGCAGUCAUCCAACCCCGGCCAGGAUGCCGCUUUGGCUUGCAGAACCUCCGUAACCCCGUGUCCUCUGGAUCACCCUGGGGCCCUGCCCUCCCUGCCCCCCCAGGACAGUCGUCACCAUCACUGCGGUUGGAAGCACCACGGUGGUGGGCGACAUCUGCUGCGCACUCACCACGUAGGAGGUGCUGGCCUCGCCCUUUGGGUGUGUCUGUGAGUUCCGUGCCCACUUUACAGACAGGAAGACCGAGAGAGGCAGAGGCAUCCGUCCAGGAUGGCGCGCUUGACGCGCCCUUGAGUCGUGGAUUCAGGCUCCGGGGAAAAGUCUGGGCCCUGAGUGUGGCGGGCUGGAAUGUCCGAACCGAAGCCCGGCUGGGGCUGGAGUCUUUGAUGGGGGGGGGGGGGGGGGCCUUGGCGGGGCUGGGGAGGCGGGGACGGGGCUGGGAGGUCGCGGAAAGCCAGGGGCCGGAAGGCAGCCUGCAGGCCCGGGAGAGAGGGCAGACGUGAGAGGAGGACGCGCGGACCCCUCCGCCCCUGAGCAGGAAGUGGCGCGCACACGCUCGUGCACACGUGGCACACGCGCACCGGCACGCGCCCAGGCAGCGCCCCCCCCCCCCCCGGACCCGCACACACACGCAUGACGCACACAUCCAGGCACGGCCUGCACGAUGCACACACGCGCACGCACAGCUGUGCACGCGUGCACGCAAAUGCACAUGCGCACGGGCGCGAACACGCCACAUGCUCGCGGAACCUCAGAACAGACCAUCUGCCCAUCUCUCUCCUUAGCAAUUAUCAUGGUGCAUUCAUUCAUGCAAUGAGCAUAUGUUGAGCCAUUUUCGGUGCCUGGCCGGGGGCGGGGACGGGGUGGGGAGGGGAGGGUGGUCCCUGCAGCCUCAGCUGAGAGGACCCAGAGAGGACCCACAGUCCCGACCCGACUGUCCCCCUGGCCGGCCUGAAGGCAGGGGUGGGGGUGUGCUGAACCGGGCCGGCCAGCCUCGGGCCCAGGAGGGCCCCACACUGACUCCUGUCCCCCCAUGGGAGCUCCCAAGGGUGGGGCCCUCAGCACCCAGCUAGGGGAAGGAGGGGAGAUCAGGGGAGGGGCCACAAGUAACACCCUAACUCUCCCCAUCUUCCUCCCCUCCCCCUCUCUCCUUCCCUCUGCCUAAUCCCCUCUUCCCCCAGCCUCUCCCUCCCUCCCUCUCUCCUUCUCACAAAUGCAUCCCUCAGUUUCCCUAUCUGGGCAAUGGGCGCGUGCCAGCGCCUUCCUCACUGAGCUGCGAGGGGAAUGCUUCACAGAGGGGGCUUGGGCCGCUGCCCUUCCUCUAGGCAAGGAUCAGCCUGUGCCCCGAGUGUGGCAGCAGGACCCCCGCACCCUACCCUGCGCGCUUUUGCGCCCCAUCCCCCUCCACACACACACACACUUGGCCACGUUGCGCAGCCUGGCUGGUCGCACCCUCCCCCGCCUCGGUGGAGCUCCCCCUCAAGUCCCGGGCAGUGACAAGUGCGAGGCCCGCGGACCCCCCCUGACCCUGGCUGCAGGGCUCUGCUCAUUGAUCCAAAGAAGCUCUUUCCUUUCCCUCAGGCGCUUCUCUGAAGGAUGGAAAAAUCGAUGCCCGCAGAAGAGCGGGUGCAGGGAAGGAUACCCCGCACGAUGAAAGCCGUCUGUCCUGCCCACCUUCUCUGAAAGACCAGGGGAUGUUACUCCAGAAGCAUCUGUGGGAGAGGGACAGCGGUCCAGCUUUCAGACUGGCACAGACCCCAGGUCUCUGAGCAGGGGCAAAUGAUGGAGGAGGUCUGUGCAGCUUCUAACGUUUGUGCCUGGUCUCUGCGGCCUGAGGUUUCUCUCCGGCACCGUCCCCACCAUUGUCAUCGAAAAGUGCCUUCACCGCUUGGCUUCAUGGUGGAUGUCAGGAUAAAUCGGCCAAUAAUCCAGGAGAGUUUUGCAAACCACAGGAGCUAGGGAAGGGCCCAGGCCCUAACCCCUUCCUCUGUCUGCUUGGCAAAGCUGACCUCCCCAGCAGUCUUCCCAUCUCGGAGGCCUCAUUCUUGUGCCCCCAGAUCAGCAGUCUGUGAAAUCAAACACAUUUAUUGAGCACCUAAUUUGCUCCAAGUAGCUCUGGGGGAGAGAAAGAUGGAAUCAUCUGGUUCCAACCCUCGUGGUACAAUGGUUUCCAUCUUCCUGAUUUAUUUUAUUUUUUAAUAUUUUUUUCAAUGCUUCUUUAUUUUUGAAAGAGAGAGAGAGAGAGCGUGAACGGGGGAGGGCCAGAGAGAGAGGGAGACACAGAAUCUGAAACAGGCUCCAAGCUCUGAGCUGUCAGCACAGGGCCCGACGUGGGGCUCCAACUCACAACCCAUGAGAUCAUGACGUGAGCCGAAGUCGGUCGCUUAACCGACUGAGCCACCCAGGUGCCCUAUCUUCCUGACUUAGAGCAUGGUGUCCAUUUGUUAUCAUGGUUCGUGAUGGUUUUUUGAUUAAUGACCUCACUGGACUCUUGCCAGACGGGCAGACUCAUGAGGGUGGGACGUCUGGACCCUUGGUGAUUAGCACAUCUAGGACUCGGUAGGGCUGCCUGGAGGAGAGGCCAUCUGAACUAGGCUUUGAAGGGUGGAUAGGAGUUCGGGGAACAUAAGGUGGGGUGGGGCCAGGAAAGAGGGGCAAAAUCUCUCCCUCUCGGAGUCUCCUCAGUCCACACCUGGCACCGUCCCUUGACCGUGUUCACACGUGGUUUCUGUUGCUACAUGGAGAGUUUUCCUCUCCGGAUCGUUUGAGAGGCUGAACAGCCUUUUAUUUCUUUUGGGAGAGAGAGGAGGGAAGGGGCAGGGAGAGAGGGAGAGAGAGGGAGAAUCCCAAGCAGGCUCUACACUGUCAGCACGGAGCCCGGCGCGGGGCUCGAACUCACGGACCGUGACCUCAUGACCUGAGCCCAAAUCGAGAGCCGGACGCUUAGCCGACUGAGCUACCCCGGCGCCCCCUCUGCUUUAUCUUUUUGAAGCAGAUAGAAGUGAUGCCCGUCCCACCGUGGCAGCCUCAGACUUGUCAUUACUUUUCCAACAGGCCCGUUCGUGGCUGGGUCUCCUGGACGCGAACCAAAAGCCAUUUGCUUCAGAGGCAAGAUUUGAGUCAGGCCCAGCUGGGUUUUCCCACCCUUUAUUUGCCCGGUCCUAUUAAUAAUUAAUGGUACAGUAAUGAGAAUUGCUUUUAAUAGAAUCUGCUGCCAUCACGGCAUUCUGUUCCCCGCCAAGGGUUUCCCCCAAAAGGAUUCGCGCUUACAUGGCUGAGCUUCCUGCCCACAGGCACCACCGGGAAGCGGAAGGUCCCCUGCUGUUGUCCUUCCCAGCCCCUCCUCUCUUCUGGCCCGAGCCCCUCUUUCUCCGCUGCCAUUUCCUAUCCCCCACCCCACCCACCCCCAAACCUCGCCCACCAUCCCCCAGAGGUUCCCACAGCUGCCCUAUCCAGCCCAGCCAAGCGUGGCCCCGUGGCACUGUCACGCCUCAUCUGUCACCAGGGCAAACUGGUCCCAUCGGGCAAGGGACAGGGCCGUCUGGAAGCUGCUUGUGCGCCCCAGCCUGGGGCGGGCAUGAGACCCACACUGCGCACACAGGAGGCUACCUUCUGGAUGUCGUGUCCCCCUCUCCCCCCACAACCCCUGGGAGGGGACCAUCACCUACGGCAAGGGCCAGGAGGACGGGCGUGGCCCAAAGGCCCCAGCCAGGCCAGGUUGGGUCCCGGCUUGACUACUGUUUGUGACACGUGGGACGGUGUUGUCACCCUUGCCCCCAAGUCUCCACUUGUUCAUCUGCAGAACAAGGAUGCCGAUGGUCCCUACCCCACCAGAAUAUUCCGGGGAGAAGGGGAGCCAAUGGGGCGGGGCGGGGUGGGGGGUAGGGAGCAGAGCUCAGGGGAGCACCUGGAAAAUAAAAUCCACCAUGUACCCCGGGCUUUAGCUCUUCAAGAUGUAUUUAUUGUGGUGUUGUUUAUGACAUCACAACUCGGAACCCACCUCUGCGUUCCCUAAUACAGGGCUGGCUUAGAAGUGUGAGCGCAUCCCUCCCAUGGGCCAAGGGGCCGUUUUUGGACGGGGGGCUUUGGGACUGCUUCCCAAACCGUGCUGUGCCGAGGAACCCCCUGGGAAUCCUGGGGAAAGGCAUGUUCUGGGGAUUGGGGCUGAGAUCCCACCCUUUGAACAGCUGCUAGGAAACACUCCCCGAGUACCGGUGGGGCAGGGGCUCUGGGUGGUGCAGAAACUCGGGUCCUGCCGGUGAAUGGAAGAACCAGGUUGCAAAGCGGAGUACGUCCUGUGAUUCCCUUCCCAGGCCCGAAGCUCAGCCCGAGCUCCAUGUUCACUGCCAAGCCCGGAGACCGGAAGCUCACGCGCCCAGAGUACUUCUCUGGAUGGGUGAUGAAUUACAGAUAAUUUUAAAAUUUUCUUUUUGGUUCAUCUUAAUUUCAAAA